rnacentral:rRNA from 1 species
GUGUCAGCCGCCGCGGUAAUACAGAGGUCCCAAGCGUUGUUCGGAUUCACUGGGCGUAAAGGGUGCGUAGGCGGUCAAAUAAGUCUAAUGUGAAAUCUUCGAGCUUAACUCGGAAACUGCAUCGGAAACUAUUUGGCUAGAGGAUUGGAGGGGAGACUGGAAUUCUCGGUGUAGCAGUGAAAUGCGUAGAUAUCGAGAGGAACACCAGUGGCGAAGGCGAGUCUCUGGACAAUUCCUGACGCUGAGGCACGAAAGCUAGGGGAGCAAACAGGAUUAGAAACCCGCGUAGUCC